UCUGGACGUUUGUGGUUGGAUUAAAUCAAAUCAAUCAAUUCCUGUCGUAUUAUUUCAUGUGAUCAAUAGUCUGUUUCGUUUCGAUAAUUGUUAUUGAUUCGAAGAUACGAUAUCCGAGUCAAAGUAUUCUUUUCGUUCAUCGGAGCAAAGUCUAAUUAGUGAGAGCUUUGGUUCGACUCUGAAUUGGAAAUAGUAUAUCAUUUCAUGUGAUACAGUUUUCUGUAUAGUUUUCCGAAAUAUAGGCGUACCGAUGGCGUUGACGUUAUUCCUUUUCGGUAAUUGGUUUAGGUGCUUUUGGCGUAUUAGCGUGCGUCCUCUUCUUUUUCGUCGUUGUGGCAUCUUUGUAUUAAUGGUGUGUUUGUUCAGGUGGUGCGACCUCACGUCACGACUAGUGCCCGGCUUCAUCGUUGGUAAAGGCAAGUGAUUGUAGUGAAUGGCUACGCUUUAACCUCUUAUUGGAUUGCCCACAUUCCUUAAUUACAAUGCAUUCAUCUAAUCUGAAUAACUGAUUAUGAGAUGGUUACUAUGUUGUUUAUGUUUCCAGAAGUUUACUCGAUGAUGGAUUUAUGAAGUGCAGUAAGCACGAUAUGCCAUUAUGCAGUUGUUCAUUAUUGUUUAAUGCAAUGUUUUAUUUCGAAGUCUCAAGCAUAUUCCGGGAGUUAUGAUAGUAUGCUUGAAGCACGUCAUACAUAUUCAUCUCAUGCAUUGGAAGUUUGUCGCCGUCUUCUGGCCGCGACUGUACCGGUACAGUACCGUAUGUUACCCGAGAAGGGGUACGGUGCACACCCUUACGUUACCCGAGGAGGGGUAAGGGUGAGGAGAGCAUGUCAUGUGCAUGGUUAUGUCUUCUUAUGAAAUUCAAUGGGUUAUUUGCAUCAAAUCUUAUUUCCUUUAAUUAGCUUGUAUAUAGAUAUAUAUGCAGCUCUGAAGGCUUAUACCAACCGAAUGUUAAAUGAUUAAUGUUAUCGUUGGACUUGCUUAGUCAUAAUUGUUUCUCCUAGUGUUGGCGGUCUGUUUCAUUACUAGUUUCUAUUUAGAAUUGUUAGCACAUUCAUCUGUGGCUAAUAGCUUUUGCAAAUGAUUGUAGUGAAUGGCUACGCUUUAACCUCUUAUUGGAUUGCCCACAUUCCUUAAUUACAAUGCAUUCAUCUAAUCUGAAUAACUGAUUAUGAGAUGGUUACUAUGUUGUUUAUGUUUCCAGAAGUUUACUCGAUGAUGGAUUUAUGAAGUGCAGUAAGCACGAUAUGCCAUUAUGCAGUUGUUCAUUAUUGUUUAAUGCAAUGUUUUAUUUCGAAGUCUCAAGCAUAUUCCGGGAGUUAUGAUAGUAUGCUUGAAGCACGUCAUACAUAUUCAUCUCAUGCAUUGGAAGUUUGUCGCCGUCUUCUGGCCGCGACUGUACCGGUACAGUACCGUAUGUUACCCGAGAAGGGGUACGGUGCACACCCUUACGUUACCCGAGGAGGGGUAAGGGUGAGGAGAGCAUGUCAUGUGCAUGGUUAUGUCUUCUUAUGAAAUUCAAUGGGUUAUUUGCAUCAAAUCUUAUUUCCUUUAAUUAGCUUGUAUAUAGAUAUAUAUGCAGCUCUGAAGGCUUAUACCAACCGAAUGUUAAAUGAUUAAUGUUAUCGUUGGACUUGCUUAGUCAUAAUUGUUUCUCCUAGUGUUGGCGGUCUGUUUCAUUACUAGUUUCUAUUUAGAAUUGUUAGCACAUUCAUCUGUGGCUAAUAGCUUUUGCAAAGUACCUUUCACUUGCUGAGAUUUUCGAAUCUCACCCGUGCUUUCUUUCCAGGUCCCUUUUGAGGUGUCAAUCGCUUGCGGGGUGGGUAGCUACACGUCGCCUGCACGUUUACCUUCUCUCUUGAUGCCCUGUUAGAUAUUGUCUUUUGCUCUGUAAUGUAUAUAAUGAGUUUGAUGGUGGUUCAGUUGUUUGGUCGAGGCUUGUACCUCGUUGCCAGGAUCUUUAUUUUGCUAGUGUGAUAUUCUAUAUCUGUUC